CUGGGGACCCAAGGCCAAGCAAGAGCUUUCAUGACUGGGAGGAACAUUCCAGAGAGAAAAUUAUAUAAGUGGUCAUUUUGUCUAAAAGGAAAUGUGUUUCUCCUAUGGAGUAGAAGAAUUCCUGCAUAAAUACAGAUAAGUGUUAAGGUUGGUAUCUACCCGAAACAGAGUUUGAGUGAAUGUUUUUUAAAGAUUUUCAUACAAUUUUACACCGUUAAUCUUCUAUAGCUCUUGAUGAUGAGGAGCAGCCAGCAUUUUUCUCAUCAGGAUCUGUGCAGAUCUCUGGCUGAUUGCUUUAUGCCUGGUUCUGGAGCCUUUGCCAGUGCAUUCUAAGAAGAACAAGGGAAGACCAGCAAGCCACAGCAGAAGAAACUCAGAAGGAAAUGUAACCUUCCACAGGCCCACACAUGUGUUAUCAGCCAUACCUUAGGACAGAAGGAAUGAGUUUGCAGAAAGGAUGCUCUUCAGAACUCAUGAAGACAUAAGGUGCUUCAAAAGAGGAGACUUUCGGAACAUGAGCAGGGAAAUUGUCACUUGAUAGAUGACAAGCAUUGUGAGAAACAACAGUUUGCCUUUCUUCAUUCCCUUCCUGGUUAUCUUUCCUGUCACAUGAAGAAGAAAUGAAACACCAGAGAGAAUCAGGUUAUCAUCAUCUACACCAGCCACUGUCACUGGCCUUCAAAGUUCAACCUCCCUGGAACUCCAGAACUCCCCACUUUAUAAGAUGAAUGGCUAAUUGGAUCCUAGUACAUAAGGAAACACUGGCAAAAUAGCGGUAUAUAACAAAUGUUUCUUUUUAUGAUAGAUCUACAUCUGAAACAACGGUGAAAAAGCAUGCAUUAAAUUAAAAAGCAUAGUCUUCCAUUUGUAAGUAAUUUUGUUAUGUGCUGCUUAUGGGAGAUUGUUUAGUUAAAGCUAUAUUACUGCAAAAGAGAGGCAAACAGAGACAGCACAGCACAUUAGUAAAACACUAAAGCUUUUAAUUUCCUCAUUCAUUCAUUAAAGAAAUAUUUUCUUAGAGAUUAUGUUUGGCAAUAUGACACAUUUUUGUAGAAAAAUGCAAUGAGACAAUAAUAAAAGUUGUCUUAUAGAAACAACUUCUGCGAUUAAGAAACUUAUAAAAUUUAAGACACAAGGUAAG
rnacentral:lncRNA from 1 species